rnacentral:rRNA from 2 species
UAAAACCAGCGCCUCAAGUGGUCAGGAGGAUUAUUGGGCCUAAAGCAUCCGUAGCCUGUUCUAUAAGUUUCCGGUUAAAUCCACUAGCUCAACUAGUGGGCUGCCGAAAAUACUGUAGAACUAGGGAGUGGGAGAGGUAGACGGUAUUCGGUAGGAAGGGGUAAAAUCCUUUGAUCUAUUGAGGACCACCUGUGGCGAAGGCGGUCUACCAGAACACGUUCGACGGUGAGGGAUGAAAGCUGGGGGAGCAAACCGGAUUAGAUACCCGGGUAGUCCCAGCUGUAAACGAUGCAGACUCGGUGAUGCGCUGGCUUGUGGCCAGUGCAGUGCCGCAGGGAAGCCGUUAAGUUUGCCGCCUGGGAAGUACGUACGCAAGUAUG